AUUGAACGCUGGCGGCAGGCCUAACACAUGCAAGUCGAGCGGAUGAAGGGAGCUUGCUCCUGGAUUCAGCGGCGGACGGGUGAGUAAUGCCUAGGAAUCUGCCUGGUAGUGGGGGAUAACGUCCGCAAACGGGCGCUAAUACCGCAUACGUCCUGAGGGAGAAAGUGGGGGAUCUUCGGACCUCACGCUAUCAGAUGAGCCUAGGUCGGAUUAGCUAGUUGGUGGGGUAAAGGCCUACCAAGGCGACGAUCCGUAACUGGUCUGAGAGGAUGAUCAGUCACACUGGAACUGAGACACGGUCCAGACUCCUACGGGAGGCAGCAGUGGGGAAUAUUGGACAAUGGGCGAAAGCCUGGUCCAGCCAUGCCGCGUGUGUGAAGAAGGUCUUCGGAUUGUAAAGCACUUUAAGUUGGGAGGAAGGGCAGUAAGUUAAUACCUUGCUGUUUUGACGUUACCAACAGAAUAAGCACCGGCUAACUUCGUG
rnacentral:rRNA from 1 species